rnacentral:misc_RNA from 1 species
UAGAGUUACAACUCCUAAACCCACUGUGAAUCUACCUAUUUCGUUGCUUCGGCAGGCGGCCCCAGGGCGGGGCUGUAGCCUUAUGGUGCCUGCCGAAAGCUCACAAAACUCGCUGUUAUGUCUUCUGAAAAGCAAAACAAAAUUAUCA